GAUGAAGAACGUAGCGAAAUGCGAUACUUGGUGUGAAUUGCAGAAUCCCGUGAACCAUCGAGUCAUUGAACGCAAGUUGCGCCCGAAGCCAUUAGGCCGAGGGCACGCCUGCCUGGGCGUCACACGUCGUUGCCCCCCCAUCUACUCCUUCGGGAUUGCGGGGGGCGGAUGAUGGCCUCCCGUGCGCCUCGCCGCGCGGUUGGCAUAAAUGCCAAGUCCUCGGCGACGCACGCCACGACAAUCGGUGGUUGCGAAACCUCGGUUGCCCGUCGUGUGCGGUCGUCGCGCAUCGAGGGCUCGAAAAAAUUGCCGGGUUCCGGCUCGGCCUUCAACGCGACCCCAGGUCAGGCGGGGUUACCCGCUGAAUUUAAGCAUAUCAAUAAGCGGAGGA
rnacentral:misc_RNA from 1 species